rnacentral:rRNA from 1 species
AUUGAACGCUGGCGACAUGCCUUACACAUGCAAGUCGAACGGCAGCACGGGUGCUUGCACCUGGUGGCGAGUGGCGAACGGGUGAGUAAUACAUCGGAACAUGUCCUGUAGUGGGGGAUAGCCCGGCGAAAGCCGGAUUAAUACCGCAUACGAUCUACGGAUGAAAGCGGGGGACCUUCGGGCCUCGCGCUAUAGGGUUGGCCGAUGGCUGAUUAGCUAGUUGGUGGGGUAAAGGCCUACCAAGGCGACGAUCAGUAGCUGGUCUGAGAGGACGACCAGUCACACUGGGACUGAGACACGGCCCAGACUCCUACGGGAGGCAGCAGUGGGGAAUUUUGGACAAUGGGCGAAAGCCUGAUCCAGCAAUGCCGCGUGUGUGAAGAAGGCCUUCGGGUUGUAAAGCACUUUUGUCCGGAAAGAAGUCCUUGGCCCUAAUACGGUCGGGGGAUGACGGUACCGGAAGAAUAAGCACCGGCUAACUACGUG